rnacentral:rRNA from 1 species
GCUUGACUGCGAGCGUGACGGCGCGAGCAGGUGCGAAAGCAGGUCAUAGUGAUCCGGUGGUUCUGAAUGGAAGGGCCAUCGCUCAACGGAUAAAAGGUACUCCGGGGAUAACAGGCUGAUACCGCCCAAGAGUUCAUAUCGACGGCGGUGUUUGGCACCUCGAUGUCGGCUCAUCACAUCCUGGGGCUGAAGUAGGUCCCAAGGGUAUGGCUGUUCGCCAUUUAAAGUGGUACGCGAGCUGGGUUUAGAACGUCGUGAGACAGUUCGGUCCCUAUCUGCCGUGGGCGCUGGAGAACUGAGGGGGGCUGCUCCUAGUACGAGAGGACCGGAGUGGACGCAUCACUGGUGUUCGGGUUGUCAUGCCAAUGGCACUGCCCGGUAGCUAAAUGCGGAAGAGAUAAGUGCUGAAAGCAUCUAAGCACGAAACUUGCCCCGAGAUGAGUUCUCCCUGAGACUUAGAGUCUCCUGAAGGAACGUUGAAGACGACGACGUUGAUAGGCCGGGUGUGUAAGCGCAGCGAUGCGUUGAGCUAACCGGUACUAAUGAACCGUGAGG